CGUAUCGAACAAUAAACAGUCGUCACUCUGCUGGAUAUGAUGAUUUUAUCAGGCCAAACCCAACCUACUGAGCAAACCGACAAAAAAUAGAGGAGCAUCAGGAUCGACGCAGAAGGGCUCUGCAGGACGCUUUAAAUUCUCUUAUAAAUGUCGUAAUAACGGCGUGCCGUUAUUUUGAUAUCGUGUGAUUGCAAAAACAGCGGCUUACCGCUAUGCACAGAAGAAAAAAGAUCGAGCGAGAAAAAACGAUUUUUUUGAGAGAGGGUUUUGGCUUGAGAGUUCGGUGGUGGUGGUUUUUGUGUUUUUGGCAUUUCCUUUUCUUCAGCAGACCUCAGGAGAGGAAAGUGCGCACGCAGAGAGAAAAGAGAAGUUAUUCGUGAAAAGAUCUGAAGAAAAAAAAUUUUCUAAAAAAAAUGAUAUGUAAAUUUAUUGAAAAUUGUGCAAAAAUUUAAUUGUUUGACAAUUUGUAAAAUAUCAAAUCUAUAUAGAAGUCUUUAAAAAUCGGUCCAAAAGCGCAAAUGGAGAAUCAGUUUUAAUGCAGGAAUAGUGCAAGGAAGAAAAACCAAAAAUUUUCAUGUCUUUGGUGAAAUACGUAUAUGCGAGCGAACCAAAUCAAAUGAUUUUAUGAUAUAUGGCACAUGUUUUGUAUAAAAGGAAACUUGGUGUCGCUCUUUUGUUUUUGAAAAGAAAAUAUUAAUAAACAAAAAUUAUGUAAAUUGUAUUUUAUUGAAGAGAGUGCUAUUU